UUCUCCAAGUAGCAUGAUCUUUGCUCUUGGCUUGGUCAUAUUGACACAUGCCAAGUAGUCUCCACCGUCCACAAAAUUUAUAUUUUAUGCUUGCCAUGGUCAUAUUGACACAUGUCAAGUAGUAUUUUCAUCAUAUCUGAGAGCUUAGUCUUGGCAUGGUCAUAUUGACACAUGUCAAGUAGUAUUUUCACCAUGUUUUAGAUCUUAUAUUUAAUAUUUUAUUCUUGCCAUGGUCAUAUUGACACAUAUCAAGAAGUAUAAUUAAAUUGCAUGAAAAUUACCUCUCAUUUGGUCAUGUUGACACAAAUCAAGGUCUUUUAUCCCUUAGAUAACAUGAAGCCUUUGCUUUCAACAAAAUGACGGCAAAGGUAUGGCAUGGGGAAAAAUCAACAACAAAAUGAUAAGUAAACUAUAGUCUAUGUAGGCUCCAUACGUAAGCUACUGUAGUUUCAUAUAAAAACACAAAUCAACAAGUGAUUGUUAAACACACUACUCAUAGUUGCAUAUUUCAUGUGGUUACAUGGGUGCAUGUUGUACCAAGAAAAUAAGCCACAGAAUGUCUAUAUAACACAAAAACGAAACGCCACUAAACCAUAGAUAUCAUUAGUCGAAUGCCCCUAAAUUAUAAAUUGAACUAGAUGGAUGUAUUAUCUAAAAAAUGCAUUAGCCCCAAGUAGUGCUAGCAUGCGUUAAUAGCAACUAGAUGUUGGCGAGUCCGGUAGGUAUACGCAUGCAAAGUAAAAUGAACAUAUUGUACCUAAAUAAUUCUAGGCUUGUUGACGGACAUCUACCCGACUAAAACAAAUUGUAUGGUCUCUUCAUAUGGACGCUCAUACACAUGAUAAAGACCAAAAAUGACCAGAGUCAUAAUCUAAGCCUGAUUGCAUUUAAAAUAUCGUAGUGCAUUUGCAUGCGCCACCAAAAUAAAUUAAAUAUUUUUAUCUGCCUCAUAUAUGUUAUGUUCAAAAAAGCCCAUCUAGCUCAUCUUCACAUAAGAUGAAAGUUAGACCAUGCAUCCCCCAUAUGACUUGCAUAUAUUUAGAAAACGUAGAUAUGAUCAUCUACUCACAAAAGAAAAGUACUAUAUGUUACUACUAAAGUGUCUUGCAUGCAUAUAGCAUACGUGCAUGAUUUCAUGCCCCAUAUUAUGAAGUUUGAAAGCUCAUCUAGCACAUUGAUUAACCAUUAAGAUAAUUUUCUCAUAUAAACUAAAGGGAAGUAAAUCAAAGUAUAUGUGUUGGUUAAUCAGUUAGAGAAAAUAGAUGAAGUCAUUCAAGCAUGCAUACACGUACUGCCAAUAUCAGUACAAGCCAAAACAAAAAAUGUAAAAAUGAAAGGCAUUACAUAUAAUAACAUCAACAAAGUUCAAGGCUCCCCCGAGCAUGCCGGCAUCGACGACAGCGAGGAGGAUGAUUUUUCUUUAAUCAUUUGUAAUAGUUAUAUGUUGCGAUCCUAUGUAGUAGAUAUGUUGGAAUUCUUAAUCAGGGGUUUUCUCUCCGGAGAUGUAAUUAACAGUUCUUUUAUAUAUAUGUAAGAGUUCUGGAAAUAAAGUACCCACAAUACUUGAUAUUGUCUCAUUUAAAUUCGCGCACUUUAAAUACUAUAUUCUAUCUACCUCUAUGACGUGGCCG
rnacentral:lncRNA from 1 species